rnacentral:rRNA from 1 species
GACGAACGCUGGCGGCGUGCUUAACACAUGCAAGUCGAACGGAAAGGCCCGGCGCUUGCGGGGCGCUCGAGUGGCGAACGGGGGAGUAACACGUGAGUAACCUGCCCUUGUCUUUGUGAUAACAUCAGGAAACUGGGGCUCAUACCGGGUAGGAGCUCCUGCUGCACGGGGGGGGAUGGAAAGAUUCGGCGGUUGGGGCUCGGUUAGCGGCUUACGGGCUUGUUGGUGGAGUAGUGGCUGACCAAGGCUACGAAGGGUAGCCGGCCUGGGAGGGUGACCGGCCACAUUGGGACUGAGAUACGGCCCAGACGGCUACGGGCCGCAGCGGUGGGGAAUAUUGCGCAAUGGGCGGAAGCCUGAUGCAGCGACGCCGCGUGCGGGAUGACGGCCUUCGGGUUGUAAACCGCUUUCGCCUGUGACGAGGAGUGAGUGACGGUAAUGGGUAAGGAAGCACCGGCUAACUACGUG